rnacentral:misc_RNA from 1 species
AAAGCUAGACACAAAGAUUUACUGACAUCUGCUUCAACCAUCUGAGCAAUACCAAAUUGUACUGUGUAUACACUAUCCUUGGUAGACGCGUUUACAUUCACCUACAGCAACUACGUGAAUAUCGUUAAAACUAAGAUUUCGAUAAAUGAAGAAAUUGAGUCACAGUUUCAUAGGAAUACGUUAAUUGUUUACUUAACGUAAACGAUCAUGUUACUGAAUUUUGAUAGAGUAGAAAGUUAUCGAAGUUAUCUGGUUUGAAAGAAAUAGUGAAGUACAACGCGUAUUUGAAAUUUGGAAAUAGAAAUAUUAUUUCAUUAUCCACGGAAAACAGAACAAGAGAAUCUAGGCUGAAUUUCAUUGAUCGGUACAAAGUACUAAUAACAAUAUUCAACUUUCAACUCGAGACAUUACAAUCAGAAAUUGUGUGAAAUAUAGAAGGAGAGAAACGGGUUUCUUUCGUCUAUAGAAAUGACAACAUUUCGCAGAAUGCGUGCUAGCUUUUGAAUGUAAACUGAUUGAUACAAGCAUUUGAAAUUCUACAGCACACCAAUAAAUUUAUUGCUAUAUACAACGUUUAUUCCUUGCGUUUCAUCGUGAUUUAUUCAGUUUAGCAUAUGUCGAUGGGUAUUCAGUAGUAUAAAUAUCACAAUCCAUAAAAGCUUACUUACUUAUUUUU